UAAACUCUGUGUGGCAAUCACUGACGCACUGCCGUGAUGCCCAGGGAAAACAGAGCGACCUGGAAGUCCAACUACUUCCUUAAGAUCAUCCAACUAUUGGACGAUUACCUGAAAUGCUUCAUUGUGGAGCAGGCAAUGUGGGCUCCAAGCAGAUGCAGCAGAGCAACAUGUCCCUCUGUGGGAAGGCCGUGGUGCUGAUGGGCAAGAACACCAUGAUGCACAAGGCCAUCUGAGGGCACCUGGAAAACAACCCAGCUCUGGAGAAACUGCUGCCUCACAUCUGGGGGAAUGUGGGCUUUGUGUUCACCAAGGAGGACCUUACUGAGAUCAAGGACAUGCUGCUGGCCAAUAAGGUCCCAGCUACCGCCCGUGCUGGUGCCAUUGCCCCAUGUGAAGUCACUGUGCCAGCCCAGAACACUGGUAUGGGACCCGAGAAGACCUCCUUUUUCCAGGCUUUAAGUAUCACCACUAAAAUCUUCAGGGGCACCGUUGAAAUCCUGAGUGAUGUGCAGCUGAUCAAGACUGGAGACAAAGUGGGAGCCAGCGAAGCCACGCUGCUGAACAUGCUCAACAUCUCUCCUUUCUCCUUUGGGCUGGUCAUCCAGCAGGUGUUCGACAAUAGCAGCGUCUACCACCCUGAAGUGCUUGACAUCACAGAGGAC